CCUCCCUGACCCUCGUCCCCUCCAUCCCGGCACCCCGUGCCCACCCGUCCCUGGUUGUCCCCCGAACGACUGCGUGUGCACCGGGGUCUGCGUGCAGCCGCCACCCUCAUGCCCUGCUGCCUGCAAGACCCUAGGGGCUUCGUCAUUUUUUCUUUUCAUCCUUUCACAGCCAGUCCCAUUCCCCCUAUUUUGGGAAAUACAUGUUCUAUCUUUGUGAGAUACUUCGUGGUUGAGGCUUUAACUUCAUUCUGUAAUUCCUAUGUCUGGGGCACCAGUAUUUACAGGUCCUGGGCCACGGCUGUGAGCCCACCCACACCCCUGCAGGGGGGCAGAGAGAGGGGGUGCUCUGCACCAAGCCUGCACUCUCCCACACCUUGCAUGUUUUCACCUUUCUUAAGGGUCUCUAUGCUUUUCCAGAUUCAUGUAUGUUUCUGAAUGAUGCCCGCCAGGGGCUUCCAGCCCGUUUUACUGGUCUACUACUUCCUGAGGGGGGCUGCCUUCCAUUUCCCAUCCCUCAGAUAACCGGGGCACCCACCCCUUCGGACCCAGAAACCCACAUUCAUCCCAACUCCCUCAAAGCCCAGCUGCCCCUAGGUAAUACAACCCUUCUCCCAAAACCCCAAUGUCCCCCCUAACAUGCACACCCCCAGAUAAUCCAGACGCCCCUGUAGAUGAGCCAGACAACCUCAGAAAUAACCUAGGUGGUCCCUAGAUGGUCCAGACACGCUCCAGCUGACCCAGGUGCCCCUGGGUAUCCCUACAGCCCUCUGGGAACGCCGCAAGGGGUCCUGCUGGGAAAAUUUACCAUGUUGCCUUCUAGAAGGGCUGGACCACACUCGUCCCCAGAGAAAGAAGUUCUGUCCCCUCUCAGCUCUUGGCAUUAUUUGCUUUCUGGUAUCUGCCAUCCUAAGGGCUGGAAUGUGGUUUCACUGUUCUCUGUUUCCUUUUUCUGAUUCCCAGUGGCAUUAGUGCCUCCUCAAGCCUUCAGCGCACCAAGAGCCCACGUCUGUGGUUCAUUUGCAGAGUCUCGGACUCACAGCAGACUUCUGUUAAUCCAUUGUGAGGCCUCCAAGUCUGUCUGCUGGCUUUAUCCAGGGGGUCUGGAUAAAAGUCCGCAGUUUUGAUGUAGUCAAGACCACCGGCUGUAUUUUUUUUAGUGGUUUGUAGUGUUUUUUCUGUGACAUCACGGAGGCACCCAGUGUCGCUGCAGGCGCCGGACAGCUUGCCCUCCACACCCGUUCUUCCUGGCCUUCAAGCGGAUGUGUGGAAGCGUGCUUCGCUCCGGUGUCUCAGUGGAUUGAAGUAACCUGCAAGGCCACCAGGUGUCAUCAGCACAUCUGGAAUGGACUUGUCCUUGUAAUGGCUUUGCUGUUUGCCAAAUACGUGGAUCAGCAGGUACCCCCUUUACUCUUUCUCAACGAUGAUUUAAGUAUCCAUGACCUUUACUUUUCCAUAUACGUUUUAGAAAGACUUGGUCAAGUUUCUGGAAAGGAAAUCUAACUGGAAUACUGAGAUUGCCUUGAACGUAUACUAGCUUGAGGACAACAGAAAUGUGUACAGGUGCUAAGUUCUCCUGUCCAUGAACAUAGUAUGUUUAUUUAUUUAGGUCUUCUUUAUAUACUGUAAUAAAAGUAUAACCAUUUCUCUGUAAA